CGAAAUUGUGACUGCACAUACAACUGUGUAGCAGGCCUAGGCUUUCUUGUCAGAUUUACAGAUUUCACUACAUAUACAAUCUCUAAGGUUUCUGAAGUGUUGCAUCCUAGAUCGUCCAUCCCAUGUUAACUUAUUGAGUGUGUCACCCGAGGAAAGUCAAAAGUAACAAAACCUCCUAACGUGCCAUGGCUGAGCAGGAAUCCAGUGAAAUGAUCACAGCUCCUGUGAAAUCUGACAUUGACACUUGCGACGACUAUACGGAAAACGAGAAAUAUGUUUAUCGCAAAAUUCCGCCCAUAUAUCGGCAGAUGUGGGUGAAUUGCGUUCUUUCCACUGUGCGAUUCAUCCUGGAAAGUGUUCCUCUUGCAUGGACAGCUUACAAAUGUUUGAGACUGAUCCUGGAACGCUGACCACCGACACCAGUACAACGAAAAAUGAGAGCAACAGUACGCACACUGUGCCCCCUGACUGGAUGUUCUCGCAUUCGUGGGUUUUUAUAUGGAUAAUGCUCGCCUUGUUUUGGCUGAUUGCUGCAAUCCAGGUUUUUACGCUACGAGAGAUGCAACGAUGGCGUCCGGGCGCAGGGCAAGAGCAGUUACGUGGCAUUAUACUGUCACUGAUUCAUGCCGGUCCCUCGCUUCCAGUGAUAAUGGCACUGAAUUGCUUCGAGCUGCUGUUUGCUGUGCUAUGGAGCGUCUUCACCUGGAAGGAAUACUUGCACGGGUCGGGGUGUCCAACCAAGGCUGGCCUGGACGCCGAUCCGAUCAUUGGUCUGCUGAUCACACCAUGGACCGUCUUAGUCGUUGCGAUUCUUUUCACUGGACAGUCGUGCCGCUCGAAAAUGUCUCGUUUGACCAAGAAAUUUAUAAAGCCAGCAGUCCCAGCGCAGUUGCUGAUAUAACUCCACGGUCCGCCUUGAGAAAUUCGAACGGUUGCCGGUACUUCGCGUACGGAGACAAUCAUAAAAUAAGUACACCCCACCAGUAAUUGUCGGUAAAGUAUUUUCCAUAUUGUUUAGUGGAUCCUUUAUUAUUAGUUUAUUAUUAGUUCUUAAGACUCGAAACCCUUUCCACUUAAUUGGUUCACCUUUGGUUGUCCCAUAUUUUGACCUUUCUUUCCCUCUCUCUCUCUGUGGUCCGCUCCUGUGUAUGAAACUCAAUUACGUAUGAAGGUCUCUUUCUCUGAGAUAUUAAGCUAGAGCACUAAAUUAAAUACAGUACUCGUAUUGAUUCUUAAUUGAUUGAUUGUUGAUUGAUUGUUUGUUUGUGUGCUCGUAAAAUAAAGAACAAAAUUAUGUAUGCCCACUGUUUACGAGGGGGCCAGAA